AUUUUGUAAAAGGUCCCAUAUAAUCUAAACCCCAAACAUCAAAUGGUUCAAUGACAAGUGAAUAAUUCAUAGGCAUUUCCUGAUGUUUACUGAUAUUACCUAUUCUUUGACAUUCAUCACAAGACAAGACAAACUUAUGGGCAUCCUUGAAGAGAGUGGGCCAAUAGAAACCUGAUUGCAAUACCUUGUGUGCAGUUCUAUCUCCCACAUGGUGUCCUCCGUAAGCCUCGGAGUGACACUUCUAUAUGAUCUAUCCCUGUUCAUGUUCAUGUACACAAUGUCCAAUAACACCAUCUACUCCUUCCUUAUAAAGGUGAGAAUCAUCCCAAAAGUAUUGUCUCAAAUCAAAGAAUAAUUUCUUCUUUUGCUGGUAUGUGAAACUAGGUGGUAUAUAUUUGGCAACGAUAUAAUUUGCAUAAUCAGCAUACCACGGUGUACUACGUGAAGCAUUAAUGACAUUCAAUUGCUCACCAGGAAAGCUAUCAUCAAUAGGUUGUGGGUCAUCAAGAACAUUCUCCAACCUAGACAAGUUAUCUGCUACGGGGUUCUCAGCACCCUUCCUAUCAACAACAUGCAAAUCAAAUUCUUGUAGCAAGAGAACCCAUCUGAUAAGUCUAGGUUUAGCAUCUUUCUUUUCCAUAAGAUACUUAAUAGUAGCAUGAUCAGUGUUAAUAGUCACCUUGGAAUCAACAAUGUAAGACCUGAACUUUUCACAUGCAAACACGACUACUAAAAAUUCCUUUUCAGUAGUAGCAUAGUUUCUUUGGGCACUAUCUAGAGUUUUACUAGCAUAAUGAAUAACAUUCAACUUCUUAUCAACUCUUUGUCCCAGGACAGCACCAACAACAUAAUCACUAGCAUCACACAUGAUUUAAAAAGGUAAGUUCCGAUCAGGUGGUUGAACGAUAGGUGCACUUAUCAAGGCCUUCUUAAGUAUUUCGAAGGCUUCCUCACAAUCAUCGUCAAAAACAAAAGGAAUAUCCUUUUGCAAGAGAUUGGUAAGAGGCAUAGAAAUCUUAGAAAAGUCCUUAAUGAACCUUCUAUAGAAACCAGCAUGACCAAGGAAACUUCUUAUACCUUUGAUAUCUGUAGGGCAUGGCAUUUUCUCGAUCGCAUCAACCUUAGCCUUAUCGACUUCAAUACCUCUUUCAGAAAUUUUAUGUCCUAAGAUGAUGCCUUCAUUAACCAUAAAGUGGCACUUCUCCCAAUUCAAGACAAGAUUGGUAUCUUUACAUCUCUGCAAAACUCGAUCAAGGUUGCUGAGGCAAUCAUCAAAAGAAGACCCAUAAACGGAGAAGUCAUCCAUGAAAAGCUCAACAAUAUUUUCACAAAAGUCAGAGAAUAUAGCCAUCAUACAUCUUUGAAAGGUAGCAGGUGCAGUACAUAAGCCAAAAGGCAUACGUCUGUAAGCAAAGGUACCGAAGGGGCAGGUGAAAGUGGUUUUAUCCUGAUCAGAUUGUGCAACAGGUAUUUGGGAGAAACCAGAAUAACCAUGUAGAAAGUAGAAGUGUGUGUGUUUAGACAGUCUUUCUAGCAUUUGGUCGAUAAAAGGCAAAGGGUAAUGAUCUUUCCUAGUGGCUUUAUUCAAUUUCCUAAAAUCGAUCACCAUCCUAUAGCCAGUAAUAAUCCUCUGUGGGAUCAAUUCAUCCUUAUCAUUAGGGACAACGGUAAUACCUCCCUUCUUAGGGACGCAAUGCACCGGACUCGCCCAAUCACUAUGAGCAACAUGAUAGAUAAUACCUGCUUCCAGGAGUUUUAGUAUUUCUUUUCUUACUACCUCUUUCAUCUUAGGAUUUAAUCUUCGUUGAUGAUAGACAACUGGUUUGGAAUCAGGAUCGAUUUUAAUUUUGUGCUGGCAUAGAGUGGGACUAAUGCCCUUAAGAUCAUCAAGAGUAUAUCCAAUAGCAGCACGGUGCUUCCUUAGAGUUUUUAGUAACUUCUUUUCUUCAUGCUCUGAGAGGCUAGCACUAAUAAUAAUAGGAUAUAUCUCUUUUUCAUCAAGAUAAGCAUACUUAAGAGUAUCAGGCAACUGUUUAAGCUCGAACACAUGAUCACCCUUUGGUGGGGGUGGAUCUCCAAGCAGUUCAACAGGCAAAUUAUUCUUAAGGAUAGGAUGUUGUUCAAAGAUAACUCUAUCUAUCUCAUUCCUUUCAUCCAUAUGCAUAUCAUUUUCAUGCUCAAGCAAAUAUUGCUCUAAAGGAUCAGUAGGAGGCACAUCGAUAGAAGCUAGAGCAAUAAUUUCAUCCUUACUAGGCAACUCUUUUUCAUGAGGUUGUCUACCAAACUUGGAGAAAUUGAACUCAUGUGAACACCUUCAAAGCCAACAGUGACAGUUUGCUUCUCACAGUCAAUAUGAGCAUUGGCAGUAUUGAGGAAAGGUCUGCCAAAUAUGAUGGGACAAAAGCUAUCUUGUGUGGUAUCAAGAACAAGAAAAUCAGCAGGAUUCUUCGUUUUACCACACAAGACUUCAACAUCUCUAACAAUUCCCAAAGGGCAGAUAGUAUCUCUACUGGCAAGCUCAAUAGUGACAUCAAUAGGUUCCAUCUCAACGGAUGCAAUCUCGUCUUUAAUUUCAUUAUAUAGGGAUUGAGGUAUUGCACUAACACUAGCACCCACGUCACAUAAACCAUGAUAACAAUGAUCUCCUAUCUUAACAGAAACAACAGGCAUGCCAACAACAGGCCUAUGCUUGUCUCUAGCAUGUGGUUUAGCAAUUCUAGCAGCAUCUUCACAUAAGUGAAUAUCAUGGCCCUCAACAUUGUCGGACAGGAGAUCUUUGAUAAUAGCAAUGCUAGGUUCAACUACAAUUUGCUCAGAGGGAGUAGGUGUUCUAAUGUAGCCACUACGUAUCACAGUUGAAACUUUAGAAUGAUCCUUUAUCCUAACAGGGAAAGGUGGUUUCUCAAUGUAAGCACUGGGAACAAUAGGAUCAUUAUAAGCAACGACUUUCUCUUCAACUGGAUUGGGUUUAACUACAUUGACUUCUAAGGGAGGAUGAUAUUUAAACCACUUCUCUUUAGGUAGAUCAAUAUGAGCAGCAAAUGAUUCACACAAUGAAGCUACUAUCUCAGAGUCAAGUCCAUAUUUAGCGCUAAAAUCACAAAAAGUAUUUGUUUCAACAAAGGAUUUAACGCAAUCAAACUUCAGAUUCAUACCUGACUCCUUACCUUCAUCAAACUCCCAAUCUUCAGAGUUGCAUUUAAUUCUUUCCAAUAAAUUCCAUUUGAAGUCAAUAUCUCUCUUCAUAAAAGAACCGCUACAAGAAGUGUCAAGCACGGUGCGAUUAUCAUGAGAAAGCCGAGCAUAGAAGUUCUGAAUGAUAAUUUCUCUCGAGAGCUCAUGGUUGGGGCAUGAAUAUAACAUUGUUUUAAGCCUCCCCCAAGCUUGAGCUAUACUUUCUCUGUCACGAGGCCAAAAAUUAUAAAUAUAAUUCCGAUCACGAUGUACUAAAUGCAUAGGAUAAAACCUUUGAUGAAAUUCCAAUUUCAAUCGGUUGUAGUUCCAUGAUCCAGUAUCAUCACAUAGCCUAUACCAUGUCAAUGCUUUAUCCCUCAAAGAUAAGGGAAAUACCUUCUUAUUGACCUCAUCCUUGGGCAAACCUGCAAGCUUAAAUAAACCACAAACUUCAUCUACAUAGAUUAGAUGCAAGUCGGGAUGUGAUGUUCCAUCUCGUGUAAAAGGAUUAGCCAGCAGUUUCUCAAGCAUACCCGAAGGAAAUUCAUAGCAAAUCUUUUCAGUAGGUGCAGCAGGUUGAGGAGAAACUCCUUGUGCUUCUAUUCGAGGUGAAGAUACCCCGAACAAGCUCCUCAAAGGAUUAGUUUCCAUAGUAACAAGUGACAAUAAAUUUCAGCACACUAUAUAAAUGUUUCCUUACCAAAUUCCACUUACCAAAGACGCUUCACUCCCCGGCAACGGCGCCAGAAAGGAGUCUUGAUGACACACAAGUGUAGGGGAUCUAUCUAGUCCUUUCGAUGAGUAAGAGUGUCGAACCCAACGAGGAGCAGAAGGAUCUGACAAGUGGUUUUCAACAAGGUAUUCUCUGCAAGCACUGAAAUUAUCGGUAACAGAUAGUUGUGUGAUAAGAUGAUUCGUAGCAAGUAGCAAGUAACAAUAGUAACAAAGGUGCAGCAAAGUGGCCCAAUCCGUUUUGUAGCAAGGGACAAGCCUGUACAAACUCUUAUAUGAGGUAAAGCGCUCCCGAGGACACAUGGGAAUUUCUGUCAAGCUAGUUUUCAUCAUGUUCAUAUGAUUUGCGUUAGCUACUUUGAUAGUUUGAUAUGUGGGUGGACCAGUGCUUGGGUGCUGUCCUUACUUGGACAAACAUCCCACUUAUGAUUAACCCCUCUCGCAAGCAUCUGCAACUACGAAAGAAGAAUUAAGACAAAGUCUGACCAUAGCAUUAAACUAGUGGAUCCAAAUCAGCCCCCUACGAAGCAACGCAUAAACUAGGGUUUAAGCUUCUGUCACUCUAGCAACCCAUCAUCUACUUACUACUUCCCAAUGCCUUCCGCUAGGCCCAAAUAAUGGUGAAGUGUUAUGUAGUCGACGUUCACAUAACACCACUAGAGGAAAAACAACAUACAACGCAUCAAAAUAUCGAACGAAUACCAAAUUCACAUGACUACUUAUAGCAUGACUUAUCCCAUGUCCUCAGGAACAAAAGUGACUACUCACAAAGCAUAAUUAUGUUCAUGACCAGAGAGGUAUUGAGUAGCAUCAAAGAUUUGAACAUAUAAUCUUCCACCAAGUAAUCCAACUAGCAUCAACUACAAAGAGUAAUUAACACUACUAGUAACCUUAGAAGUACCAAUCGGAGUCGCGAGACGGAGAUUGGUUACAAGAGAUGAACUAGGGUUUGGAGAUGAGAUGGUGCUGAUGAAGAUGUUGAUGGUGAUGAGUCCCCUCCGAUGAGAGGAGUGUUGGUGAUGACGAUGGCGAUGAUUUCCCCCUCCCGGAGGGAAGUUUCCCCGGCAGGACGACCUGCCGGAGCUCUAGAUUGGUUCUGCUCAAGUUCCGCCUCGUGGCGGCGGCGAUUCCUCCCGAAAGCCUCCUCCUGAUUUUUUCUGGAAAAAAACCCUCCUGAUAGCAAAAGAGGGGAGCCAAAGGGCCAACAGAGAGCCCACAAGCCCCCUAGGCGCGGCCAGGGGGUAGGCCGCGCCUAGCAGGCUUGUGGCCUCCUGGUGGCUCCCCUUUGGUACUUCUUCCGCCCAGUAUUUUUUAUAAAUUCCAAAAUAAUUCCUCAUUGAUUUUCACGGAUUUUGGAGUUGCGCAUAAUAGCUAUCUCAAACUUGCUUCUUUUUCAGGCCAGAAUACCAGCUGCCGGCAUUCUCCCUCUGCAUGUAAACCUUGCAAAAUAAGAGAGAAAAGGCAUAAGUAUUGUACCGUGAAGUGUAAUAAUAGCCCAUAAAGCGAUAAAUAUCAACAUAAAAGCAUGAUGCAAAAUGGACGUAUCAAUCCUCACUUCCUAUAUAUAAUUAUUUACCUCCGUACUAUUCCAGAGCUCCUCGUGACGUCUGAGAUCUCAUCCGGGACUCCGAACUACCUUCGGUAACCUCGUAUAACAAUUCCCUAUAACCCUAGCGUCAUCGAACCUUAAGUGUGUAGACCCUACGGGUUCGGGAGGCAUGCAGACAUGACCGAGACACCUCUCCGGCCAAUAACCAGCAGCGGGGUCUGGAUACCCAUGGUGGCUCCCGCAUGUUCCACGAUGAUCUCAUCGGAUGAACCACGAUGUCAAGGAUUCAAUCAAUCCCGUAUACAAUUCCCUUUGUCUACCGGUAUAGAACUUGCCCAAGAUUCGGUCGUCGGUAUCCCCAUACUUUGUUCAAUCUCGUUUCCUGCAAGUCUCUUUACUCGUUCCGUAGCACAUCAUCUAGUGACUAACUCCUUAGUCACAUUGAGCUCAUUAUGAUGAUGUUCUAUCGAGUGGGCCCAGAGAUACCUCUUUGUUACACAGAGUGACAAAUAGAUCUUGAUUCGUACCAGCCCAAUAGAUACUUUCGGAGAUACCCGUAGUGCACCUUUAUAGUCACCCAGUUACGUUAUGACGUUUGAUACACCCAGAGCACUCCUACGGUAUCCGGGAGUUGCACAAUCUCACGGUCGAAGGUAAAUAUACUUGACAUUAGAAAAGCUUUAGCAUACGAACAACACGAUCUAGUGCUAUGCUUAGGAUUUGGUCUUGUCCAUCACAUCAUUCUCCUAAUGAUGUGAUCCCGUUAUCAAUGACAUCCAAUGUCCAUGAUCAGGAAACCAUGAUCAUCUAUUGAUCAACGAGCUAGCUAACUAGAGGCUUGCUAGGGACAUAUUGUGAUCUAUUUAUCAACACAUGUAUUAUUGUUUCCUGUUAAUACAAUUAUAGCAUGAACAAUAAACAAUUAUCAUGAAUAAGGAAAUAUGAUAAUAACCAUUUUAUUAUUGCCUCUAGGGCAUAUUUCCAACACUAUGGACGGUACCCGUGGAUUCGGCCCGACGUGGAGUGUGAUUGAUUGGUGGAGGGGGAGUAAAAACUUUACUAUUCUGUUUGGGAACCGCCUAUAAUGUAUUUAGCAUGGAAGAUAUUGAGAUCUCUUAGUUGUUACGUUGACAAUGAAAUCAUACCACCCAAAAUUUUGAUUUAUCUCUGUUUUAAAAGCUCAAGUUCUGGCACCUCUGCAAAUCAAUUAUUCCCUCUGCGAAGGGCCUAUCUAAUUUACUUUACUAUUGAGUCAUACUCUUCUUAUAAAAAAGGCACCAACCAUAGAGAGCAUAAUUGUUAUUCUGAGUGUGAUGUGCAUUGUUCCAAAGUACCACAUUGUCUAAUACAUGAUUGUGAUAUUACUCAUUCUCAAAUAUUUAUUUCUAGUCUCCUUUAAGACUCUGAAGGAGCGUCUACAUUUAUAUUUUGCUUCACUCUUGGGGCUAGCAAGAUACCACUCUAGUAUGUCCGAAUCAUGUGCAUUGUGAUCUCGUCAUGAUUUUCGGUUGCAUAUUGUUCAUUCUUAGUUGUUUAAAACUCUUCACAUGAUCAAAGGAUUGCUUCGUGCAUUAUCUUUGUAGCAUUUCUUCAAUACUUGUUGGACUUGUUCGUCGUGCAUGCUUAUAUACAUCUGAUGAAGCAAAAUAGUUUGUCAAAGUUUUCUUUGUCGCGUCCAGUUCGUUGAACUAAAUUUCUUGAGGACAAGCAAUAUGCUAAGCUUGUGGGAGUUGAUCCGUCUCAAACGUAUCGACUUUUCCAAACACUUUUGCUAUUGUUUUGGCCUCAUUCUUGCACGAUUUCAAUGAAACUAACCCGGACUGACGCUGUUUUCAGCAGAGCUGCCUGUAUGGUUUUCUUGUGUGCAGAAAAAUGGAUUUUUAGGCGUCCCGGGAAAUUCCAAUAAAAGUAGAGAAAUCCACGCACCGGGAGGAACCCUGGGCCAGAGGGGGCCACCAGGCCUCCAGGCGACCUGUGGGCGCGGCCUGCCCCCUGGCCGCGCCGGGAGGCCGCCUGGGUGGGGUCCACCUCCUCUGGUGCCCUACCUUGGCUCCGAUUUUUACCCAUGAUGGAGAAAUCCAUGAACAGAAGUCGUUUUGCAAGUUCUCGACGCGGAGCCGCCGCCACCCUCGGUUCUUCUCCGGGAGAGCUAAUCUGGAGGCUGCAUUGGCCUCCGGAGAGGGGAAAUCGUCGCCAUCGUCAUCACCAUCACCACUCCAUCACCCUUCCAUGGGUUCCCCCAUCAUGUGUGAGUAAUUCCGUGUUGUAGGUGAAGGGGAUGGUAGGGAUUGGAUGAGUUAGAUCAUGUAAUAGUUCGUCGGAUUGUUGGGGGCAUGUUGCCUAUCAUCUACUAUGGUGUUUAUCAUCUUUGCUACUACUUGUUACUCUUAAUGCUUGUCACUUAGGGCCCGAGUGCCAUGAUUUCAGAUCUGAAUACCUUAUGUUUUCAUGAAUAUAUUUGUGUUCUUGAUCCUAUCUAUGAGUAGUAUGCACCUAUUUUUAGUCCGGAACCAGCGAUCCAAUGGUGACAGCUUGGGACACCAAAGGGGAUAGACUAUAGUCUGAGGAUUCCAUGUAUCAAAUGAUUGUUAAUGCUUUGUUCCGGUGCUCCAUGAUUCCAUGAAAGAAUAUUUAUAAGUUCCUGUUGGCCCCGUUGGUAGCGGGAUGGUAGGAAAAAAGAUGUUGUGCAAGUUCUUAUUGCAAGCACGCAUGACUACCUUGGGAUACAUGCCUAAUGUUUGAUAUUUGCCUAGACGAUCAUUACUUUUCUGUAUGCCUUGCCCCAAGUUAAAUACAUUAUAUCUAUCAUCCAUGACCAACCAUCCAUCUCCCUAGCCUACAGUGUUUUAAUCCUGCUAGUCACCAGUUGCUCUACUUUAGCCGUUUUACUUUCGUUGCUUUGCCACUAUUAUUUCCGUUGCCACAAUCACUUUCAUAUCACCAUUGCUACUAAUAUUUCAUUGCCAAGCAAGUACCUUUCAGGUGUGGUUGAAUUGACAACUCAACUAUUAAACCUUAUAAAUAUUCUUUGGCUCCCCUUGUGUCGAAUCAAUAAAUUGGGUUAACUUACCCGCGAAGACUGUUGCGAUCCCCUACACUUGUGGGUUAUCAUGCACUGGACCUAAUCAAUCUAUUCUGUGACAACACUGGUGCCAUUGCUCUAGCCAAGGAACCAAGGUUUCACAAGAGGACCAGACACAUAAAGCGGCGCUUCAAUGCCAUCCGCGAUUACAUCAAAUAGGAGGACAUAAAUAUUUGCAAAGUGCACACGGAUCUGAAUGUUGCAGAUCCGCUGACUAAGCCUCUUCCACGAGCAAAGCAUGAUCAACACUACAACUCUAUGGGUGUUAUAUUCAUUACAUUGUAAAUCACAUAGAGAUGUGAAGCUAGAUUAUUGACUCUAGUGCAAGUGGGAGGCUGUUGGAAAUAUGCCCUAGAGGCAAUAAUAAAAUAGUUAUUAUUAUAUUUAUUGUUUUAAGAUAAUCAUUUAUUGUCCAUGCUUUAGUUGUAUUGAAUGGAAACACAAAUGCAUGUGUGGAUAUAUAGACAAAACAAUGUCCCUAGUGAGCCUCUAGUUGACUAGCUCGUUGAUCAAAGAUGGUUAAGGUUUCCUAGCCAUAGACAAGUGUUGUGAGUUGAUAACGAGAUCGCAUCAUUAGGGGAAUGAUGUGAUGGACAAGACCCAAACUAUAAACGUAGUAUGCGAUCGUGGCAUUUUUUUGCUAUUGGUUUUUGCAUGUCAAGUAUACAUUCCCAUGACCAUGAGAUCAUGUAACUCACUGACACCAGAGGAAUGCCUUGUGUGUAUCAAACGUCACAACGUUACUGGGUGACUAUAAAGGUGCUCUACAGGUAUCUCCGAAGGUGUCCGUUGAGUUAGCAUGGAUCAAUACUGGGAUUUGUCACUCCGUAUGACACAGAGGUAUCUUGGGGCCCACUCGGUAAUACAACAUCACAAACAAGCCUUGCAAGCAAUGUGGCUAAAGAGUUAACCACGGGAUCUUGUAUUACAGAACAAGUAAAGAGACUUGCUAGUAACAAGAUUGAAAUAGGUAUAGAGAUACCGACGAUCGAAUCUCGUGCAAGUAACAUACCGACGAAGGACAAAGGGAAUAUUAUACGAGAUUAGUUGAAUCCUUGACAUAGAGGUUUCACCGAUAAGAUAUUUUGUAGAAUAUGUAGGAUCCAAUAUGGGCAUCCAGGUCCCGCUAUUGGAUAUUGACUGGAGAGUGUCUCAGUCAUGUCUACAUAGUUCUCGAACCCGCAGGCUCUGCACACUUAAGGUUUGGUGACAUUUCUACAUAGUUCUCGAACCCGCAGGCUGUGCACACUUAAGGUUUGGUGACAUUUCAGUAUAGUUGAAUUAUUGAUGUUGGUAACCGAAUGUUGUUCGGAUUCCCGGAUGAGAUCCCGUACGUCACGAAGGUCCCCGGAAUGGCCUGGAAAUGAAGAUUGAUAUAUAGGAUUGGUGCAUUUGGCUUUCGAAAAGUCUUCGGACAUUACCGAUAUAGUACCGGGAGUGACGAAUGGGUUCCGGUGUUUUACCGGGAGGGGCCACCCACCUACGAGAGAACCUAAUAGGCCCAGGGGUGGCGCACCAGCCUUUAGUGGGCUGGUGAGGCCAGCCCAAUAAGCCUGUUUCGGCUAAGAGCAAUAAUGAAAAGGAAAAAAUAAAAUAAAAGGAAGGAGGUGGACAAGAUGGGAAGGAGUCCUCCACCAAACCGAAUUGUAGGAGGACUCCUCCCUCUUGGGUUCGGCCUAACCCUCCUACUUGGAGUAGGAGGCAAGCCACCGUCCCUCUUGUUCCUCCUAUAUAUAGUGGAGGUUUGAGAGGCUUUUUGCACCCCAUGCCUUUGUGCAGUCCUCUCUCCCUCCACUACUUCGUGACACCCCGUAGCUAGUUCGGCAUGACACGGUGAAGCCGUGCCGGAGUAGCUCCACCAUCAUCACCGCCACACCGUCGUGCUGCCGGAGAAUUCAACUACCUCUCCGUCUCUCUUGCUGGAUCAAGAAGGCGGAGAUCAUCAUCGAGCUGUACGUGUGUUGAACGCGGAUGUGUCGUCCGUUCGAUACUAGAUCGGGACAGAGUUCGUGGGACGGAUCGUGAUUGGAUCGCGAAGACGUUCGACUACAUCAACUGCGUUUCUUAACGCUUCCGCUUAGCGGUGUACAACGGUAUGUGGAUCCGAUCUCCCCUCUCGUAGAUGAUCAUCACCAUGAUAGGUUUUCGUGUGCGUAGGAUUUUUUUGUUUCCCAUGCAACGUUCCCCAACAAGCCUUUCUUCUUCCAUCUUUCAUUCAGCCGCAUAAGUUCUUUCCGUAUCUCCUCAUAAGUCCUUGGAGGCCACCCCUUCCUAGCUAAUGUGUCAGCAAUCUCAUUCAGUAGCGUGUCACUACUGAUGAGUUCGUCCCAUGAAACUAUUCUAUUGUCUAUCUUGAAAUUGCUAGCUAAACGCAGAAGACAUUCGGACAUACAAGAGUGAAAACUACGAUCGAAAGGAUAAUGAGACAUCUUGAGGAGAGUCACCUACUAGACUACACUGCUUACCCACCUUAGUGUGGAGGGGGUUUUAUAGGUGCCGGAGAACGAGACGAGAAAUGGCGGGAAAGCGAGGUGGGAAAAAAUGGCGGGAAAGCUAGGCGGGAAAAAUGGCGGAAAAGCGAGGCGGGAUAAUAUGGCGGGAGAGCGAGGCGGGAAAAUAUUGGCGGCAAAGCGAUGCGGGAAAGAAAUAGCGGGAAAGCGAGGUAACUUGCUGAAAUUAACAUGUUAAAAUGAAGAUACACCUUGCUGAAAUUAAGAUACACAUUGCUGAAAUGAAGAUAAAACUUGCUGAAAUUAAGAUACAACUUGCAAAAAUUAAUAUACAACUGUCAGAAAUUAAGAAACAAUAAAAUAAAUCUACCGAGUUCAACAUGGAUAUUUUCCUUUUCCAUCACGAGCUUCUUCUGCUGCCUUGGCCGCACGAGCCCUUUCUUUCUUUCUCUCCCUCUCAGACUCACGGGCCUCCUGUCGCUAUCUACAAAACUCCGACAAUGAAAGUUCCUCUUCUCGGUUUUUCUUCUACAUCUCAUCAAUCAUAGCCCUCUGCUUCACACAAUACUCUUGCCACUCUCUCUGCUCCUCUACUUUCUCCUCUGCUUCCGCCUUCUCGCGGCGUUCUUCCGCGUCCAAACAAGCCCAUGCACGACGACCUCUUUCACAAAUCUUGGUCACCGCCCAGUCCGGCAUUUUCUUGUCGAUCCAACGAUAGUACAUGCACAGAGGAUGAGGAGACUACAACAGAAAUAGAAAUAUAAAUAUCAAGUUAACAAUAAUAUCUACAACGUGUUUAUUCUUGAUGACUGAAGCAUACCAGAGGCCUGAUGUACGGUGAAGGAGCAACGGGUGAAUCUUCCUCAUAAUUGGGGCACAUGAAAAACUUCAUGCCCAACCAAUCUGAAAAAUCCGUCACCUCCUUCACCUUGUAGAGAUCGCCGCACCAACAACGAACUACUUCCACCCCCUGAGGCAAGCUCGCACUCUUCAUUUUUCUGGGCCUAAUGCUUUGAUCUGAGUAAGGCAAAUUCAUACUGACUACGAAGGAAGUGUGACACACUGAGGCGAAGUGUGGUUGGAUGAUGGCGAAGAGUGUUUCAAUACCUUCUUUUAUAGGCUCAGGCGGAUGUGUAGGCGGGAAAAUAUGAUGCGAAAAGGCAAAAUUUAUCAAUGAAAAAAGGCGUGAACACAAAUGAAAAUUGGAAGAAAAAAAGAGCAUCUGAGAGAUUCCCAGCAUGGAAAUCCGCCCGUGUCUGUCUCAAAAUGAGCGCCGUCCAGUGCCACUUUCGGCGCGAGGCUACAGUGUCGGCCACCUGGCGCGGGGGCGACAGGGCCUGCCUGCUGCGCCCGUUCCGUUGAGUGCGAUGGUUGCAAUGGGAUUCCCUAUCGGCCGCCUCGUCCGGUGGAGGCAGGCCCCAGCCGCCUUGCCUGAUGGCUGCAGGUCACACGGGUCACCUGGCGCGCAUGCCGCCACGAGGGGUGGGGGUCCUUUCUGCAAAUCAACGCUGCAAGUGGUCCUUUCCAACAAUUCGACUCGGCUAGUGGUUUUUGUUGACAAAAUAUUGAAUUUUGUGUCAUCUCAAUUUCUACAAAAAUUCUAUUCUCAAUUUCUAUAAAAUUUAUAUUGUUAUGAUUCUUUCUUAUGAACCAAAAAAGGCCUAACAAGUUUCUGAAUAACUUGCUAACAACGGAUCCUAACAUCAUUGAGAAAUUUUGUAGUAGUGCAUAUUAAUAUCUGNNNNNNNNNNNNNNNNNNNNNNNNNNNNNNNNNNNNNNNNNNNNNNNNNNNNNNNNNNNNNNNNNNNNNNNNNNNNNNNNNNNNNNNNNNNNNNNNNNNNNNNNNNNNNNNNNNNNNNNNNNNNNNNNNNNNNNNNNNNNNNNNNNNNNNNNNNNNNNNNNNNNNNNNNNNNNNNNNNNNNNNNNNNNNNNNNNNNNNNNNNNNNNNNNNNNNNNNNNNNNNNNNNNNNNNNNNNNNNNNNNNNNNNNNNNNNNNNNNNNNNNNNNNNNNNNNNNNNNNNNNNNNNNNNNNNNNNNNNNNNNNNNNNNNNNNNNNNNNNNNNNNNNNNNNNNNNNNNNNNNNNNNNNNNNNNNNNNNNNNNNNNNNNNNNNNNNNNNNNNCAGGUAAAACAAUCCAGAUUAACAAAAUAAUCCAGAACAAUCACCCAAAUUAUGCAGAGACCAUGGUUCAUACUACGCUAAGAAGCAUUCGGCCAUCACAUGUAUCAAGCAACUGAGAGCACAAAACUCCACAACAAUCCUAAAUUAUUUUCACCAACUCACCACAACCUUCAUACAUAAAGCAAGCCAUUAUUAGAAAACAAAAACAUCCACUCGAUUUAUUGCACAUGCAGCAUGAUCUAAAGUUGAAACCCUCCACUCACAUGUGACAGUNNNNNNNNNNNNNNNNNNNNUAGUGCAUAUUAAUAUCUGAUUUCCGCUUAUCGUGGGCUUAUCUGAUGUAUGGAGGAGUUCAAGAAUGAAUAAAUUAGGAACCAUUGUGGAAUCUUUCUCCUUCUUUCCCCACGGUCAAAGGCACACAUGGCUGAUAACGAUAGGGCCACGGAGGACGAAGUCGCUCUCGCCGCCUUGUCAACCAAACAAACCCAGGUAAAACAAUCCAGAUNNNNNNNNNNNNNNNNNNNNNNNNNNNNNNNNNNNNNNNNNNNNNNNNNNNNNNNNNNNNNNNAAGGGAUUGAACAC
rnacentral:lncRNA from 1 species